UACGUAGGGGGCGAGCGUUGUCCGGAGUUACUGGGCGUAAAGCGCACGCAGGCGGUCUGUUAAGUUUGGAGUGACAGUUGGUGGCUUAACUGCCAAAGUGCUUCGAAAACUGACAGACUUGAGGGCUUACAGAGGGACACGGAAUUCCGGGUGGAGUGGUGAAAUGCGUAGAGAUCCGGAGGAACACCAAAGGCGAAGGCAGUGUCCUGGGGAGUACCUGACGCUCGAGGUGCGAAAGCCAGGGGAGCGAACGGG
rnacentral:rRNA from 1 species